rnacentral:rRNA from 1 species
AACGAACGCUGGCGGCAGGCUUAACACAUGCAAGUCGAACGCCCCGCAAGGGGAGUGGCAGACGGGUGAGUAACACGUGGGAACAUACCCUUUUCUACGGAAUAGCUCUGGGAAACUGGAAUUAAUACCGUAUACGCCCUACGGGGGAAAGGUUUAUCGGGGAAGGAUUGGCCCGCGUUGGAUUGGCUAGUUGGUGGGGUAAAGGCCUACCAAGGCGACGAUCCAUAGCUGGUCUGAGAGGAUGAUCAGCCACAUUGGGACUGAGACACGGUCCAAACUCCUAGGGGAGGCAGCAGUGGGGAAUAUUGGACAAUGGGCGAAAGCCUGAUCCAGCCAUGCCGCGUGAGUGAUGAAGGUCUUAGGAUUGUAAAGCUCUUUCACCGGUGAAGAUAAUGACGGUAACCGGAGAAGAAGCCCCGGCUAACUUCGUGCCAGCCGCCGCGGUAAGAC